rnacentral:tRNA from 1 species
UGAGGCAUAGUUCAGUGGUGGGAACAUCGGACAUUGGCAAUCCGAAGGUCGGGGGUUCAAAUCCUUCUGCCUCAGCCA